GACGAACGCUGGCGGCGUGCCUAAUACAUGCAAGUAGAACGCACAGGUUAUACCGUAGCUUGCUACACCAUAGACUGUGAGUUGCGAACGGGUGAGUAACGCGUAGGUAACCUGCCUGGUAGCGGGGGAGAACUAAUGGAAACGAUAGCUAAUACCGCAUAAUAUUAAUUAUUGCAUGAUAAUUAAUUGAAAGGUGCAAUUGCACCACUACCAGAUGGACCUGCGUUGUAUUAGCUAGUGUGUGAGGUAACGGCGCACCUAGGCGAGGAUUCAUAGGCGACCGGCCAGGGUGGUCGGCCGCCCUGGGAGUGAGACAGGGCCCAGCCUCCUACGGGAGGCAGCCGUAGGGGAUCUUCGGUGAUGGACGGAAGGCAGACCGAGCCACCCCGCGUGAGUGAAGGAGGUUUUCGUAUCGUAAGGCUCUGUUGUUAGAGAAGAACGGGUGUGAGAGUGGAAAGUUCACACUGUGACGGUAUCUUACCAGAAAGCGACGGCUAACUACGUG
rnacentral:rRNA from 1 species